GUCUAUAGCCACCCUAUCCUGAAUAUGCCCAGUCUUAUCAGAUCUUGAAAGCUAAGUAGGGUCGGGCCUGGUUAGUACUUGCAUGAGAGACU
rnacentral:rRNA from 1 species